rnacentral:tRNA from 2 species
GCCGAUGUAGCUCAGUUGGUAGAGCAACUGAUUCGUAAUCAGUAGGUCGUGGGUUCGACUCCCAUCAUUGGCU